CCUGCGAGGCCUCCACCUCUUUCUCAGCUCAUACUUGCAGCUCAGGGUCCUCCGUCACCAGAUGGGAUGGAGGCAUGAGGGGGGCAUUUGGGAACAGAGCACCCAGCUCAGAAGGGCUGGGACUCCUGCACCAGUGGCCACAGCCCUGCUUCACAUCAGCAGCCACAGAGUGAGACAAAGUCCUCUAAACCAAGAAGCAACGGAGGAAAGUCAGUGACUUCCAGGACCCGGAACUCAGUGGCAGAACCUUGGUUACUGAACCGAUGCUCAAACAACAUGGGAAGAGCACUGAAUGAAGGGUCAGGGUGUUCCUCGUGUGUGAUCUUGCAGGAAACGCUCAUCUCUUUGGGCCUUGGCUUCACUAUUUAUAAAUGGAGAGAUUGGACCAGCUCAGCACUUUCUCGGGUCACACUGACCCAACACUGUUAUUUAACAUGAUAGAAUGCAGGCAGGAGUGUGGAAAUAGGACCCACUGCUCAAUUUCCUGCCUCUCCUCUCUCAAGGAUUGCCAGGGGUCGCCAUGAGGAGCUGGGUAUAAAGAUGGAAGCAGAAGCAGCCAGAGCUACAGAAACUCCAUAGGUAUAUACCCUGUAAACACACGUGAAAACUCUGGAUUCUACCUGCCUGGACAGGACUGGCUCAGGAGCCAGUGGCAGUCCUAUUGUGAGUAAGGGGCUUACAGGAUAAGGCCCCAGACAGAACAAAGAAAACACUCCCACCAACUCUCUUGCCAGAAAUGAACUGAAAUUUUCGGAGAGGUGCGUGAGCCAAAAUUCUCAGGGAGAAGUCCUAGAAGACUGUCCAU